AGCAGCUUGCAGACUACUCAUAGCCACCCCCUUCCCAAGGAGCCAUGAUGACAAGCCAUGACACAGCUAGGCAUGAAACAAGCACAUGCAUUUGUGUUAGGUCAAGACCGACAGAGUUUAGGUAAACCCAAUUUCAAGGAAAAAAAUCGAAAGCUGUAAAGGGCUCUCAACAUAACAGUGAAGAAUAACUACUCUGUGGUAGAUAUUCCAUACUUUUUCUCACAUAUAAUUUCUAAAUGACUGCAGUGGAUGCAAAGCCCAACAGAAUGGUCUAUGAAUCUACAAACUAAUGCAAUAGAGCUGAAGGAUGGAUGCAACAUGCAUUUGCAGGAGAGGGAUGGUCUUCUGAGUAAUUUAUCACAAGCCAAGGGCAAAGAAAACAUUUCCGGAGCACACUGGAAAAGGUGGACUAGAAGCCACAGACUUCGGAGGGCUCUCCCACUGCUUCUUUCUUGAUUCAUGAGAAUCUACAGAAAUGAGAAAACUGAAUACGUAACAAUGCCUAUUUUUCACAGGAGGGAGUGGAGGGAAACAGAAGGGAGGGGAAGAGGACAGU